rnacentral:rRNA from 1 species
AUUGAACGCUGGCGGCAUGCUUUACACAUGCAAGUCGAGCGGCAGCGCGGGGGCAACCCUGGCGUCGAGCGGCGAACGGGUGAGUAAUGCAUCGGAACGUAUCCUCUAGUGGGGGAUAACCCAGCGAAAGUUGGGCUAAUACCGCAUGAGCUCUGAGGAGGAAAGCGGGGGACCUGCGAGGGCCUCGCGCUGGAGGAUCGGCCGAUGUCCGAUUAGCUAGUUGGUGGGGUAAAGGCUUACCAAGGCGACGAUCGGUAGCUGGUCUGAGAGGAUGAUCAGCCACACUGGAACUGAGAAACGGCCCAGACUCCUACGGGAGGCAGCAGUGGGGAAUUUUGGACAAUGGGGGCAACCCUGAUCCAGCAAUGCCGCGUGAGUGAAGAAGGCCUUCGGGUUGUAAAGCUCUUUCGGACGGAACGAAAUGGGGGGGACUAAUACACCUGUCUGAUGACGGUACCGUAAGAAGAAGCACCGGCUAACUACGUG